GUUUGAUCAUGGCUCAGAUUGAACGCUGGCGGCAGGCUUAACACAUGCAAGUCGAGCGGGGGAAGGUAGCUUGCUACCGGACCUAGCGGCGGACGGGUGAGUAAUGCUUAGGAAUCUGCCUAUUAGUGGGGGACAACAUCUCGAAAGGGAUGCUAAUACCGCAUACGUCCUACGGGAGAAAGCAGGGGAUCUUCGGACCUUGCGCUAAUAGAUGAGCCUAAGUCGGAUUAGCUAGUUGGUGGGGUAAAGGCCUACCAAGGCGACGAUCUGUAGCGGGUCUGAGAGGAUGAUCCGCCACACUGGGACUGAGACACGGCCCAGACUCCUACGGGAGGCAGCAGUGGGGAAUAUUGGACAAUGGGGGGAACCCUGAUCCAGCCAUGCCGCGUGUGUGAAGAAGGCCUUAUGGUUGUAAAGCACU
rnacentral:rRNA from 1 species